rnacentral:tRNA from 1 species
GAGAGAGGCCCGAUGGCAGCGAGGACUGCUAAUCUUCCGCCCCCUUGGUUAAACUCCAAGGCUCACUCG